rnacentral:rRNA from 1 species
GACGAACGCUGGCGGCGUGCCUAAUACAUGCAAGUUGAGCGAUGAAGAUUGGUGCUUGCACCAAUUUGAAGAGCAGCGAACGGGUGAGUAACGCGUGGGGAAUCUGCCUUUGAGCGGGGGACAACAUUUGGAAACGAAUGCUAAUACCGCAUAACAACUUUAAACAUAAGUUUUAAGUUUGAAAGAUGCAAUUGCACCACUCAAAGAUGAUCCCGCGUUGUAUUAGCUAGUUGGUGAGGUAAAGGCUCACCAAGGCGAUGAUACAUAGCCGACCUGAGAGGGUGAUCGGCCACAUUGGGACUGAGACACGGCCCAAACUCCUACGGGAGGCAGCAGUAGGGAAUCUUCGGCAAUGGACGAAAGUCUGACCGAGCAACGCCGCGUGAGUGAAGAAGGUCUUCGGAUCGUAAAACUCUGUUGGUAGAGAAGAACGUUGGUGAGAGUGGAAAGCUCAUCAAGUGACGGUAACUACCCAGAAAGGGACGGCUAACUACGUG